rnacentral:rRNA from 1 species
GAUGAACGCUGGCGGCGUGCCUAAUACAUGCAAGUCGAGCGAACAGAUGAGGAGCUUGCUCCUCUGACGUUAGCGGCGGACGGGUGAGUAACACGUGGAUAACCUACCUAUAAGACUGGGAUAACUUCGGGAAACCGGAGCUAAUACCGGAUAAUAUAUUGAACCGCAUGGUUCAAUAGUGAAAGACGGUUUUGCUGUCACUUAUAGAUGGAUCCGCGCCGCAUUAGCUAGUUGGUAAGGUAACGGCUUACCAAGGCAACAAUGCGUAGCCGACCUGAGAGGGUGAUCGGCCACACUGGAACUGAGACACGGUCCAGACUCCUACGGGAGGCAGCAGUAGGGAAUCUUCCGCAAUGGGCGAAAGCCUGACGGAGCAACGCCGCGUGAGUGAUGAAGGUCUUCGGAUCGUAAAACUCUGUUAUUAGGGAAGAACAAAUGUGUAAGUAACUAUGCACGUCUUGACGGUACCUAAUCAGAAAGCCAAGGCUAACUACGUG